UGUGCAGCCCUUUGGGGUUCAGGUGACUGAGUGUGGGAAGCCUUUGUCAUAGGGUAAAAGUUGCAUACCCCUGGGCUGUAGGCUGCACACUUUGGGUCAAAUAUCAGGUUCUGUAGCUGUGUAUUUUAUCAGAACAAAUCUGUUCUACAAUGAUUCUUUUCCUUAGCUCAGGGUUGUUUUGCCUAUUGAUGGCAGCUGUGGGCAUACAAGCACAACAGACACCUUCUAUAAAUGACCUAAACGCUGAAUGCCUUGGUAACGUUAUUCGUUUGAGUGUCGCUCCUCUUUUUGAAGAGGUUGAUGCUGUCUUCAGUGAG